rnacentral:rRNA from 1 species
CGGUACGUGGGUACCGUGCCUCAUACAGGGGGGUAGCAGCUGGAAACGGGUGAUAAAACCGCAUAAGCGCACAGCAUCGCAUGAUGCAGUGUGAAAAACUACCGGUGGUAUGAGAUGGACCCGCGUCUGAUUAGCUGGUUGGUGAGGUAACGGCCCACCAAGGCGACGAUCAGUAGCCGGCCUGAGAGGGUGACCGGCCACAUUGGGACUGAGACACGGCCCAA